rnacentral:rRNA from 1 species
UACAGAGGGUGCGAGCGUUUGUCCGGAAUUACUGGGCGUAAAGAGCUCGUAGGUGGUUUGUCGCGUUGUUCGUGAAAACUCACAGCUUAACUGUGGGCGUGCGGGCGAUACGGGCAGACUUGAGUACUGCAGGGGAGACUGGAAUUCCUGGUGUAGCGGUGGAAUGCGCAGAUAUCAGGAGGAACACCGGUGGGCGAAAGGCGGGGUCUCUGG